AUAAAAUAUUUCCUUUUUGCUUUUUACCACCAUUGAUAUGAAACUUGUGGCGAUGAAGUCCUGCAUGCACUGCAUGUCUUUCUUGUUAAAAGAAGAACUUCCCCACACCACGAUAUACCCAAAACUGCCGAAACUAAUAAGGAACCUUGGCUGUGCAUACAUCGACAACAAGAACGUGCAACCAAAUGUCACCUAUGAAUCGGAGGAAGAAGUUCAAAAGAUUGUGCCUUCUUUUGGUAAGUAACAUUAUAUUAGUCCAUUCAAGUUUGAUAAUUUCAUAUAAUUUAUUACACAUUUAAUGUACCGUAUUUAGUUUUUUUCAGUGUUUAUGAUUAUUGGAAAUAAUUUUUUAUUUAUUUCAUGAACUCAUUUACACAGGUGAUGUCAUAAUUGAUCACAUUGUCAAGGAAAUUCAAGCCAGUCCAGUUAUAGCAGUCCUGAUUGAUGAAACGACCGACGUUGCAGUGUUGAAACAGUUAUGCAUCUACAUGUAUGUCAAGUACCUUCAUGACAAUAAGCCGAAGAUUGCCUUUCUCACUUUAACCGAGUUACCAGAUGGCAAAAUCUGAAACCAUCUACAAGGCUGUGGUCAACAUUUUGGGUGAUUUGAAGAUUUCUCUGGCAGAAAAGCUGAUUGCUUUCGGAACUGAUGGUGCCAAUGCCAUGCUGGGAAAACAUAAUGGUGUAGCAGCAUUGUUGAAACAAAGGUCACUGGCUGCUCACUUCACCAACAAAGUGGAAGAGGAUGAAGUUAAACUGGAGUGAAGUAGAUUUCUGCCAUUCCUCCACAGAAAGAAAAACAAAGGAGAAACUGUUGAUGACAUUUUGGCAUUCCUGGUAUCUGACAACAACCAGCCACAGUUGCAGACUCUUGCAAAGAUUUGUCUGGUCUUACCAAUGUCCACAGCUGAUUGUGAGAGAGGAUAUUUUGCACUCAAACAAAUCAAGACAUGACUGAGGAAUUGAUUAUCACAAAGCAUUUUCAACAAUCUCAAGCUAGUGUCUGUUGAAUGAGAAGAGGAGACAUUCAACCUUGACGCUGUGCACAGAUGGCAUGCCAAGGGAAAUAGGAAGAUUGAUUUUUGUGUGUGAAUGGACUAUAAGGAGCAACCCACAUUACUAAUUAAUGUAUAUAAAAGUGUUUUAACCAACA